AGCGCUUGCACAGCAACUAUCCCUUUAAACGCGGACCGCUAAAGCCGCCCGACUGCUUUUGAACUGCAGCAUGACUGUGGUUAAGGUGGCGUGAUUGCAGCCGCACACAGCAGCGCUCUGACGUUAGCUAGCCAGCUAGCUAUUGGGCCGAGUUUGAUUACGAGAAAACGCCGGUUUAUAAAGAUAAAGAAAAACAAUUGGGACAGAGGUUUUCUGGACUCUACAUAUCAAUGGUCCACACAGACAAUAUGGAUGCGAAACGCAGGAGUAGCAAAACUAGCAGAAGCGAAUCCAACAGUAACAACACCGACUCACCAGGCAGUCAUGGCCCAGGUGUCGGAAAUGCUACUGGGGGGAACGCUUUCGCCAACGACGGCAGCUUUUUGGAAAUGUUUAAGAAAAAAAUGGAGGAGGAGAAAAGAAAAAGAGAGAUGGGCCAGUGUCAGGACGAUAAUGGCUCUGCAGAGGGAGAACAAUCGACGCAAGAAAAGAAGACUUUUAGCGUGGCCAGCUUUGUGGGCAAGCGGAGAGGCGGUGCCAAAUUAGCGCUCAAGACAGGAAUGGUUGCCAAGAAACAAAAAUUGGAGUCAGAGGUUGAACCAGGUAAAGGGGAUGCUUGGACAAAAUACAUGGCUGAGGUUCGAAAAUAUAAAGCCCACCAGUGUGGCGAUGACGAUAAAACCAGACCUCUGGUAAAAUAAAACUCCUGAGAACUUUUACACUCAUCCUCUGCCCUGAACACCCAGACUUCUCUCUUCUUCCUCACCUGCCUUCUGCUGUGACUGAUGGAACACUCCUGGGGUUGAGGAGGGCCAGUGCCCACCCUGUGCCCUGAUAAUCUGCCUGCCAUAUAGUGUUCAUUUGAGCAGCAACAGACUGACUGGCCAGUGAUAUUUUACGUCUGCGCAACACAUGGGCUCCUGGUGUACCUUGAUUUUUGUUGUGUAAAGCCUUUUUUUUUUUGUUUCUUAAUCCUUUGUUUGGGGACAGCUGCUGUCAAAACAAAAUGCGAAAACAAACAUUGUUUUUUGUGUUUUUGAAUAAUUAAAAUAUUUUUGCAUAGCUUUUCGUUUUUGUAUUGCCUUGUAGAAUUAGUGUGAUAUUAUUGUCUACUUCAUCUGAAUUGGUGUUUUUUUUUUUUUUUUUUUACUGUAUUUGUUGAUAUGAAGUUGGCCUGAAUCCUUGUGUAGUAAAAUGUAUAUGACCACC